rnacentral:misc_RNA from 1 species
AGCAGCCGCGGUAAUUCCAGCUCCAAUAGCGUAUAUUAAAGUUGUUGCAGUUAAAAAGCUCGUAGUUGAAUUUCGGGACCAAUUUGUUGGUCGUGCCUCGGUACGUACUGGUAUUAUUGGUUUCUCCCUUCUGAAGAACCUCGAUGCCAUUAAUUUGGUGUCGUGGGGAAUCAGGACUGUUACUUUGAAAGAAUUAGAGUGUUUAAAGCAAGCAUACGCUUGAAUACAUUAGCAUGGAAUAAUGAAAUAGGACGUUUGAUUCUAUUUUGUUGGUUUCUAGGAUCGACGUAAUGAUUAAUAGGGAUAGUUGGGGGCAUUAGUAUUCAAUUGUCAGAGGUGAAAUUCUUGGAUUUAUUGAAGACUAACUACUGCGAAAGCAUUUGCCAAGGAUGUUUUCAUUAAUCAAGAACGAAAGUUAGGGGAUCGAAGACGAUCAGAUACCGUCGUAGUCUUAACCAUAAACUAUGCCGACUAGGGAUCGGAUGAUGUUAAUUUUUUAAUGACUCAUUCGGCGCCUUAC